UUGCAGGAAAAAUUUGAUAUAGCGUUUGGGAGACAUAAAACACGAGCAAACUUCUUAAAGAUGCAACCUCAGGAUAUAAUGGUGUGUAUUUCUCGCGUCGUCAAUUCACUUAUAAUGUUAGCAUUCAGAAAUAAACAAAACUAGCAGUUUGAUCAUACUUAUUCACCGUCAAGUAUCUUAUGGUAAUCAAACUCCUCAAUGUUAGCAUAAAGGCCUAAGGAUGGGGAAAAGAAAUUAUCUUCAUCUUUCUAUUGUAAUGUUAGGAGUUGAAUACGGAGUACGCUGUAGCAAGCUUUUGUAAAUGGGUUGUCUUCACAAUUCACCAGUUAUGUUAACCCAAUUCUUGCA